rnacentral:rRNA from 1 species
CCAAUAGCGUAUAUUAAAGUUGUUGCAGUUAAAAAGCUCGUAGUUGGAUUUCGGGAUCAAUAUGUCGGUCGUGCCUCGGUACGUACUGGCGUAAUUGGUUUCUCCCUUCUGAAGAACCUCGAUGUCAUUAAUUUGGUGUCGUGGGGAAUCAGGACUGUUACUUUGAAAAAAUUAGAGUGUUUAAAGCAGGCUCGCGCUUGAAUACAUUAGCAUGGAAUAAUGAAAUAGGACGUUUGAUUCUAUUUUGUUGGUUUCUAGGAUCGACGUAAUGAUUAAUAGGGAUAGUUGGGGGCAUUAGUAUUCAAUUGUCAGAGGUGAAAUUCUUGGAUUUAUUGAAGACUAACUACUGCGAAAGCAUUUGCCAAGGAUGUUUUCAUUAAUCAAGAACGAAAGUUAGGGGAUCGAAGACGAUCAGAUACCGUCGUAGUCUUAACCAUAAACUAUGCCGACUAGGGAUCGGAUGAUGUUAAUUUUUUAAUGACUCAUUCGGCGCCUUACG